UGCAGGCGGCGCGAAUCACUAGUGAUUUCCGGUGAUCCUGCCGGAGGUUACUGCUAUCGAGAUUCGACUAAGCCAUGCGAGUCGAAUGUUCUUCGUGAACAUGGCGGACUGCUCAGUAACACGUGGACAACCUACCCUUCGGUCCGGCAUAAUCCUGGGAAACUGGGGAUAAUUCCGGAUAAGCCACAUAAGCUGGAAUGCUCUGUGGUCCAAAGCUCCGGUGCCGAAGGAUGGGUCUGCGGCCUAUCAGGGUUGUAGUGGGUGUAAUGUACCUACUAGCCUACGACGGGUACGGGUUGUGAGAGCAAGAGCCCGGAGAUGGAUUCUGAGACACGAAUCCAGGCCCUACGGGGUGCAGCAGGCGCGAAAACUUUACAAUGCGGGAAACCGUGAUAAGGGAAUCUCGAGUGCCAGCAUAUAAUGUUGGCUGUCCAGAUGCCUAAAAAGCAUCUGUUAGCAAGGGCCGGGCAAGACCGGUGCCAGCCGCCGCGGUAACACCGGCGGCCCGAGUGGUAACCGCUAUUAUUGGGUCUAAAGGGUCUGUAGCCGGCCAGGUAAGUCCCUUGGGAAAUCUGGCAGCUCAACUGUCAGGCUGCUAGGGGAUACUGCUUGGCUUGGGACCGGGAGAGGUGAGAGUACCUUGGGGUAUGGGGUGAAAUCUUGUGAUC
rnacentral:rRNA from 1 species